rnacentral:rRNA from 1 species
GAUGAACGCUGGCGGCGUGCCUAAUACAUGCAAGUCGAGCGAACGGACGAGAAGCUUGCUUCUCUGAUGUUAGCGGCGGACGGGUGAGUAACACGUGGAUAACCUACCUAUAAGACUGGGAUAACUUCGGGAAACCGUAGCUAAUACCGGAUAAUAUUUUGAACCGCAUGGUUCAAAAGUGAAAGACGGUCUUGCUGUCACUUAUAGGUGGAUCCGCGCUGCAUUAGCUAGUUGGUAAGGUAACGGCUUACCAAGGCAACGAUGCAUAGCCGACCUGAGAGGGUGAUCGGCCACACUGGAACUGAGACACGGUCCAGACUCCUACGGGAGGCAGCAGUAGGGAAUCUUCCGCAAAGGGCGAAAGCCUGACGGAGCAACGCCGCGUGAGUGAUGAAGGUCUUCGGAUCGUAAAACUCUGUUAUUAGGGAAGAACAUAUGUGUAAGUAACUGUGCACAUCUUGACGGUACCUAAUCAGAAAGCCACGGCCAACUACGUG